rnacentral:tRNA from 1 species
GCCUGGGUGGCUCAGUCAGUUAGGCGUCUGACUUUGGUUCAGGUCAUGAUCUCAUGGUUCGUGGGUUCAAGCCCCACUUUGGGCU